GUCUACGGCCAUGCUACCCUGAACAAGCCCAAUGCCAUCUGAUCUCAGAAGCUAUGCAGGCUCGGGCCUAGUUAGUACUUGGAUGGGAGACCACCUAGGAAGACCAGGUGCUGUAGGCG
rfam:Pteropus alecto contig76207, whole genome shotgun sequence.